GAACUGAAGAUUUUGGAAAGAUAUUUCUAAAAUUAUGUGGAUUUGUUGGAAUGCGUAUGAGGUAAGUAAUACUUUACUUUUUUUAGAUUUUUUAGUAAAUUAUAAUAUAUUUUUCUGACAUGAUUUGUGAAAUGAUGUAUGAAUUGGAUGAAUGAUAUUUUGUUAUGAAAAAUAUCUUAUUUUGAAAUGUUAUAAUGAAGCAUGAUUGAACAUAUUGAUUUUGUUAUGCAUUAUAUUGAUUGAUUUCAAUACCCCAU
rnacentral:lncRNA from 1 species